GGUUAAGUUAGAAAGGGCGCACGGUGAAUGCCUUGGCACUAGGAGCCGAUGAAGGACGGGACUAACACCGAUAUGCUUCGGGGAGCUGUAAGUGAGCUUUGAUCCGGAGAUUUCCGAAUGGGGAAACCCACUGUUCGUAAUGGAACAGUAUCUUUAUCUGAAUACAUAGGAUAUUGAAGGCAGACCCGGGGAACUGAAACAUCUAAGUACCCGGAGGAAGAGAAAGCAAAUGCGAUUUCCUGAGUAGCGGCGAGCGAAACGGAAUUAGCCCAAACCAAGAGGCUUGCCUCUUGGGGUUGUAGGACACUCUAUACGGAGUUACAAAGGAACGAAGUAAAUGAAGCGACCUGGAAAGGUCCGUCGAAGAAGGUAACAACCCUGUAGUUGAAACUUCGUUCCCUCUUGAGUGGAUCCUGAGUACGGCGGAACACGUGAAAUUCCGUCGGAAGCUGGGAGGACCAUCUCCCAAGGCUAAAUACUACCUAGUGACCGAUAGUGAACCAGUACCGUGAGGGAAAGGUGAAAAGCACCCCGGAAGGGGAGUGAAAGAGAUCCUGAAACCGUGUGCCUACAAGUAGUCAGAGCCCGUUAACGGGUGAUGGCGUGCCUUUUGUAGAAUGAACCGGCGAGUUACGAUCCCAUGCAAGGUUAAGCUGAUAAGGCGGAGCCGUAGCGAAAGCGAGUCUGAAUAGGGCGUUUAGUAUGUGGUUGUAGACCCGAAACCAGGUGAUCUACCCAUGUCCAGGGUGAAGUUCAGGUAACACUGAAUGGAGGCCCGAACCCACGCACGUUGAAAAGUGCGGGGAUGAGGUGUGGGUAGCGGAGAAAUUCCAAUCGAACCUGGAGAUAGCUGGUUCUCUCCGAAAUAGCUUUAGGGCUAGCCUCAUGUUGUGAGAGUCUUGGAGGUAGAGCACUGAUUGGACUAGGGGCCCCCAACGGGUUACCGAAUUCAGUCAAACUCCGAAUGCCAAAGACUUAUCCAUGGGAGUCAGACUGCGAGUGAUAAGAUCCGUAGUCAAAAGGGAAACAGCCCAGACCACCAGCUAAGGUCCCCAAGUAUACGUUAAGUGGAAAAGGAUGUGGAGUUGCUUAGACAACCAGGAUGUUGGCUUAGAAGCAGCCACCAUUUAAAGAGUGCGUAAUAGCUCACUGGUCGAGUGACUCUGCGCCGAAAAUGUACCGGGGCUAAACGUAUCACCGAAGCUGUGGAUUGACAUCUUUGAUGUCAGUGGUAGGAGAGCGUUCUAAGUGCUGUGAAGUCAGACCGUAAGGACUGGUGGAGCGCUUAGAAGUGAGAAUGCCGGUAUGAGUAGCGAAAGACAAGUGAGAAUCUUGUCCACCGAAUGCCUAAGGUUUCCUGAGGAAGGCUCGUCCGCUCAGGGUUAGUCGGGACCUAAGCCGAGGCUGAAAAGCGUAGGCGAUGGCCAACAGGUUGAUAUUCCUGUACCACCUCCCCGCCGUUUGAGUAAUGGGGGGACGCAGUAGGAUAGGGUAAGCGCGCUGCUGGAUAUGCGCGUUCAAGCAGUUAGGCUGAUGAGUAGGCAAAUCCGCUCAUCAUAAAGGCUGAGCUGUGAUGACGAGGGAAUUAUAGUACCGAAGUUCCUGAUUCCACACUGCCAAGAAAAGCCUCUAGCGAGGCGGGAGGUGCCCGUACCGCAAACCGACACAGGUAGGCGAGGAGAGAAUCCUAAGGUGAUCGAGAGAACUCUCGUUAAGGAACUCGGCAAAAUGACCCCGUAACUUCGGGAGAAGGGGUGCUCUGGUAGGGUGUAUAGCCCGAGAGAGCCGCAGUGAAUAGGCCCAGGCGACUGUUUAGCAAAAACACAGGUCUCUGCGAAGCCGCAAGGCGAAGUAUAGGGGCUGACGCCUGCCCGGUGCUGGAAGGUUAAGAGGAGGGGUUAUCCUUUGGGAGAAGCUCUGAAUCGAAGCCCCAGUAAACGGCGGCCGUAACUAUAACGGUCCUAAGGUAGCGAAAUUCCUUGUCGGGUAAGUUCCGACCCGCACGAAAGGCGUAACGAUCUGGGCACUGUCUCAACGAGAGACUCGGUGAAAUUAUAGUACCUGUGAAGAUGCAGGUUACCCGCGACAGGACGGAAAGACCCCGUGGAGCUUUACUGUAGCCUGAUAUUGAAUUUUGGUACAGCUUGUACAGGAUAGGUAGGAGCCUGAGAAGCCGGAGCGCUAGCUUCGGUGGAGGCGUCGGUGGGAUACUACCCUGGCUGUAUUGAAAUUCUAACCCGCGGCCCUGAUCGGGCCGGGAGACAGUGUCAGGUGGGCAGUUUGACUGGGGCGGUCGCCUCCUAAAAUGUAACGGAGGCGCCCAAAGGUUCCCUCAGAAUGGUUGGAAAUCAUUCGUAGAGUGUAAAGGCACAAGGGAGCUUGACUGCGAGACCUACAAGUCGAGCAGGGACGAAAGUCGGGCUUAGUGAUCCGGUGGUUCCGCAUGGAAGGGCCAUCGCUCAACGGAUAAAAGCUACCCCGGGGAUAACAGGCUUAUCUCCCCCAAGAGUCCACAUCGACGGGGAGGUUUGGCACCUCGAUGUCGGCUCAUCGCAUCCUGGGGCUGUAGUCGGUCCCAAGGGUUGGGCUGUUCGCCCAUUAAAGCGGUACGCGAGCUGGGUUCAGAACGUCGUGAGACAGUUCGGUCCCUAUCCGUCGUGGGCGUAGGAAAUUUGAGAGGAGCUGUCCUUAGUACGAGAGGACCGGGAUGGACACACCGCUGGUGUACCAGUUGUCUUGCCAAAGGCAUCGCUGGGUAGCUAUGUGUGGACGGGAUAAGUGCUGAAAGCAUCUAAGCAUGAAGCCCCCCUCAAGAUGAGAUUUCCCAUAGCGUAAGCUAGUAAGAUCCCUGAAAGAUGAUCAGGUUGAUAGGUCAGAGGUGGAAGCGUGGCGACAUGUGUAGCUGACUGAUACUAAUCGAUCGAGGACUUAACCAA
rnacentral:rRNA from 2 species